UACAGAGGUCUCAAGCGUUGUUCGGAUUCAUUGGGCGUAAAGGGUGCGUAGGUGGCGGGGUAAGUCAGGUGUGAAAUUUCGGAGCUUAACUCCGAAACUGCAUUUGAUACUGCCUUGCUUAGGACUGGAGAGGAGACUGGAAUUCACGGUGUAGCAGUGAAAUGCGUAGAUAUCGUGAGGAAGACCAGUGGCGAAGGCGGGUCUCUGGACAGUUCCUGACACUGAGGCACGAAGGCCAGGG
rnacentral:rRNA from 1 species